rnacentral:misc_RNA from 1 species
GAUGAAGAACGUAGCGAAAUGCGAUAAGUAGUGUGAAUUGCAGAAUUCAGUGAAUCAUCGAAUCUUUGAACGCACAUUGCGCCCCUUGGUAUUCCAUGGGGCAUGCCUGUUCGAGCGUCAUUUGUACCUUCAAGCUUUGCUUGGUGUUGGGUGUUUGUCCAUUCUCUUGCAGAGGGACUCGCCUUAAAGUAAUUGGCAGCCAGUGUUUUGGUUUUGAAGCGCAGCGCAAGUCGCGAUUCAAAGCUAUACGCCCGCUUCCACAAGCCUUUUUCACUUUUGACCUCGGAUCAGGUAGGGAUACCCGCUGAACUUAAGCAUAUCAAUAAGCGGAGGA